AUUGAACGCUGGCGGCAGGCCUAACACAUGCAAGUCGAACGAGUGGCGGACGGGUGAGUAAUGUCUGGGAAACUGCCCGAUGGAGGGGGAUAACUACUGGAAACGGUAGCUAAUACCGCAUACACUCUGAUGUGCCCAGAUGGGAUUAGCUUGUAGGUGAGGUAACGGCUCACCUAGGCGACGCUCCCUAGCUGGUCUGAGAGGAUGACCAGCCACACUGGAACUGAGACACGGUCCAGACUCCUACGGGAGGCAGCAGUGGGGAAUAUUGCACAAUGGGCGCAAGCCUGAUGCAGCCAUGCCGCGUGUAUGAAGAAGGCCUUCGGGUUGUAAAGUACUUUCAGCGGGGAGGCGUUACCCGCAGAAGAAGCACCGGCUAACUCCGUGCCAGCAGCCGCGGUAAUUC
rnacentral:rRNA from 1 species